rnacentral:lncRNA from 1 species
UAAUAACCAAAUUGAAGCACCAGGACCUAGCUGAAAGACAAAUUAGUUUAUAAAAUGUGGAAUAUAUGUGGACAGAACAUAUAUCUGCUGGUGUUGGGUGAGAAUAACACCUGCCAGCUUGAGGUUUUCUAGACUUGGUCUGAAAAUCAUCAAUCAUUUGCCAUCUACUCCGACCAAAAAAUUAUUUUCCCUCAUCUACACCUCUCCAAAUGCCGCACAACAAGAGUCGAUCACACUGUGUGAAAAUUAGACUUUAUUUUUGUGGAAACUCAUGUAUCAUAUAAAGAAGUUUGUUGGCAGAUCCAAAAAUAUUCUCAGUGAUAGUUACAAUAAAAGAUUUGUUGUUGAUAUUGGCUUGGAUAAUUCUGUAGUAUGGCACAACGAUUUGGAUUACCUAGAUACAUAGUAAAAAAUAAGUCUAGAAAAGCGAAAGCAUCCUAUCGGAAUAGAGGGAUUAGUUAUUAAGGUCUGGUUGUGCAUUAUUAAAAGUAGAUAAAUAAAAACGUCAACGGACAAGCAACAAAAAAGAUCAGAUAAAAUCUAUAGGAGCUGCCAAAAAGGAUCAGUGUUGUACACACCCUGAAAUGGGAGGUGUUGUGCAAACGAAUCACCUUUUUAUCUCAUCCAUAGACACAACUGUGCAGCGCCCCGGCCCACCCAAUAAUCCACCUAUGGCCAUGGCGCGCUGUUGAGGAAGGUUCACUAUCAACAGUUUGCUGUUAGUGAACCUCAUCUUCAAAUUCCAAAAAUAUUGUAAUCUAAUGAGAAAUUUAAGUUAAUGAAUGAGGAUUGGCUCAUUAUAGAACCAUGUAGUUAGGAGUACAAUAACAAUUCUAGUUCCAAAUUAACUGCUUGAAACAUUCAGUUACUGUGGACACCAAUAAGCUAUACAAGAAUAAAUGUUAACCUAGAAGGCCAAAUAAAAUACACAUUUUUACGGUUUACUACAUUAUUAUCCAGGUGCAUCAGAGGUAUUGGCUCUCAUGGAGUUCUCAAGAAUACUACGUGGAUAUCACAACUGCACUCCACCAAUAAUAUAAUUAACGAGUUUGCAUUGGCACUAUUUCUCAAGAUAGAUAUCUUCGAAAAUCCAUAUAUUCAGAGAUCGCAUCAUCCACUAUCCCCCAAGCAUAUGCACCUAUUAAUAUUAUCAAUAAUAACUGUAAUUUUAGAAUGUAUGAGGUGAAUGCAGGGGGCUUGCAACUUAACAACAGCAGAUAUUACAAUCUGGAAUGCAUGCAUGGUGGACACUCAGAUAUAUAUGCCGCUUAAUUGGCCAGUCAGCAGAACAAAGAUGAGGGCAGCGUGAGAGCGACCUCCCAAAGCAAGAAAUCAUUACCUGAGUAAUAUCUGGAGGAGACCUCAUUAUGAAAGCCUAUAGCACUUUUAAUCUUUUCGAAUCCGACAGGAGGUACUUCAUCUGAUUAUG